AAACUAACAAGGAUUCCCCUAGUAACGGCGAGUGAACCGGGAAAAGCUCAAAUUUGAAAUCUGGCGUCCUCAGGGCGUCCGAGUUGUAAUCUAUAGAGGCGUUUUCCGUGCCGGACCGUGUCCAAGUCCCUUGGAACAGGGUAUCAAAGAGGGUGACAAUCCCGUACUUGACACGACUACCGGUGCUCUGUGAUACGUCUUCUACGAGUCGAGUUGUUUGGGAAUGCAGCUCAAAAUGGGUGGUGAGUUCCAUCUAAAGCUAAAUAUUGGCGAGAGACCGAUAGCGAACAAGUACCGUGAGGGAAAGAUGAAAAGCACUUUGGAAAGAGAGUUAAACAGUACGUGAAAUUGUUGAAAGGGAAACGAUUGAAGUCAGUCGUGACCGAGAGGCUCAGCCGGCUCUGCCGGUGUAUUCCCCUCGGUCGGGUCAACAUCAGUUUUGUCCGGUGGAUAAGGGCGGUAGGAAGGUGGCACCCACGGGUGUGUUAUAGCCUGCCGUCACAUACACUGGGUGAGACUGAGGAAUGCAGCUCGCCUUUAUGGCCGGGGUUCGCCCACGUCCGAGCUUAGGAUGUUGACAUAAUGGCUUUAAACGAC
rnacentral:rRNA from 1 species